UGGGAAUAUUGGACAAUGGGCGAAAGCCUGAUCCAGCAAUGCCGCGUGAGUGAUGAAGGCCUUCGGGUCGUAAGCUCUUUUAGGAGGGAAAAAGGGAAACUUGAUGGUACCUCCGGAAAAAGCACCGGCUAACUCCGUGCCAGCAGCCGCGGUAAUACGGAGGGUGCAAGCGUUGUUCGGAAUUAUUGGGCGUAAAGCGCGUGUAGGCGGCUGCCUAAGUCUGGUGUGAAAGCCCGGGGCUUAACUCCGGAAGUGCACUGGAUACUGGGCAGCUAGAGGACGAGAGAGGAAAGUGGAAUUCCUGGUGUAGGGGUGAAAUCCGUAGAUAUCAGGAGGAACAUCAGUGGCGAAGGCGGCUUUCUGGCUCGUAUCUGACGCUGAGACGCGAAAGCGUGGGGAGCAAAC
rnacentral:rRNA from 1 species